CCUACGGGGGGCUGCAGUGGGGAAUAUUGGACAAUGGGGGCAACCCUGAUCCAGCCAUGCCGCGUGUGUGAAGAAGGCCCUCGGGUUGUAAAGCACUUUCAGUGAGGAAGAACGCCUGGUGGUUAAUACCCAUCAGGAAAGACAUCACUCACAGAAGAAGCACCGGCUAACUCCGUGCCAGCAGCCGCGGUAAUACGGAGGGUGCGAGCGUUAAUCGGAAUUACUGGGCGUAAAGUGCGCGUAGGUGGCUUGAUAAGCCGGUUGUGAAAGCCCCGGGCUCAACCUGGGAACGGCAUCCGGAACUGUCAAGCUAGAGUGCAGGAGAGGAAGGUAGAAUUCCCGGUGUAGCGGUGAAAUGCGUAGAGAUCGGGAGGAAUACCAGUGGCGAAGGCGGCCUUCUGGACUGACACUGACACUGAGGUGCGAAAGCGUGGGUAGCAAACAGGAUUAGAUACCCCAGUAGUC
rnacentral:rRNA from 1 species